rnacentral:rRNA from 1 species
GACGAACGCUGGCGGCGUGCCUAAUACAUGCAAGUCGAACGCAGUGGGGACGGGUGAGUAACACGUGGGUAACCUCCCAUCAGAGGGGAUAACACUUGGAAACAGGUGCUAAACCGAUACUGCUGGAUGGACCCGCGGUGCAUUAGCUAGUUGGUGAGGUAACGGCUCACCAAGGCCCCGAUGAAUAGCAGAGCGGCAAGGGUGAGAGGCAACACUGGGACUGAGAAACGGACCCGGCUCCUACGGGAGGCAGAAGUAGGGAAUCUGCGGCAAUGGACGAAAGUCUGGCCGAGCGACGCCGCGUGGUGGAAGAAGGUUUUCGGAUCGUAAAACUCUGUUGUUAGAGAAGCGGUAUCUAACCAGAAAGCCACGGCUAACUACGUGCCAGCAGCCGCGGUAAUAA